UGGGGAAUAUUGGACAAUGGGCGAAAGCCUGAUCCAGCCAUGCCGCGUGUGUGAAGAAGGUCUUCGGAUUGUAAAGCACUUUAAGUUGUGAGGAAGGGCAGUAAGCGAAUACCUUGCUGUUUUGACGUUACCGACAGAAUAAGCACCGGCUAACUCUGUGCCAGCAGCCGCGGUAAUACAGAGGGUGCAAGCGUUAAUCGGAAUUACUGGGCGUAAAGCGCGCGUAGGUGGUUCGUUAAGUUGAAUGUGAAAGCCCCGGGCUCAACCUGGGAACUGCAGCCAAAACUGGCGAGCUAGAGUAGGGCAGAGGGUGGUGGAAUUUCCUGUGUAGCGGUGAAAUGCGUAGAUAUAGGAAGGAACACCAGUGGCGAAGGCGACCACCUGGGCUCAUACUGACACUGAGGUGCGAAAGCGUGGGGAGCAAACAGG
rnacentral:rRNA from 1 species